AAAAUAAUAGGUUAAACAAACCACUGUUUUGUGGUAACAGAAUUGAACUAAAGUUCUUAUUUUA
rnacentral:tRNA from 1 species